UACGACUACAUAUCAGGCAUAUCAAUAAGCGGAGGAAAAGAAACUAACAAGGAUUCCCCUAGUAACGGCGAGUGAAGCGGGAAGAGCUCAAAUUUGAAAUCUUAAAGGGUUUCCCUUUACGAAUUGUAGUUUAAAGAAGUGUUUUCUGUUGGAGUUUCGGUAAAAGUUCUUUGGAAUAGGACAUCAUAGAGGGUGAGAAUCCCGUAUUUGACCGUUACUUUCCAGCUGUGUGAUACACUUUCAAAGAGUCGGAUUGUUUGGGAAUGCAGUCCAAGAUGGGUGGUAAAUUUCAUCUAAAGCUAAAUAUUGGCGAGUGACCGAUAGCGAACAAGUACCGUGAGGGAAAGAUGAAAAGAACUUUGAAAAGAGAGUUAAACAGUACGUGAAAUUGUCAAAAGGGAAGCGUUUGACACCAGUGUUGUUUAGUUGAAAAUCAAUUCAAUAGUUUUUGAUUCUAAGUAGUAUUGACUUCAUCAGCUUGCUGCUUUCUUCUCAGAAAUUAUUGAAUGCACUUUUCAGUUAACAAGUCAACAUCAAUUUCUUUUGUUGUAAAAGGGUAAGAGGAAGGUGGCUUGCGCUUCGGCUCAAGUGUUUAUAGCCUUUUAUCUCUGCAAUCGGAGAGAUUGAGGUCUGCAGCGUAGAUCCUUCGGGGUUAGAUACAUUGGUGCUAAGCUAUAGCCUUGUAUAGACAACUUGUUGACUAUGCUCAGUCAUGUAGCUUACUCGCUGAUGCUAUUUUACCUACGCUUAGGAUGUUGAUCUACAGAGCGAGAGU
rnacentral:rRNA from 1 species